GCGCAGCAGUCGAGAAACCUCCGCAAUGCGGGAAACCGCGACGGGGGACCCCGAGUGCCGUGGCAACGCCACGGCUUUUCCGGAGUGUAAAAAGCUCCGGGAAUAAGGGCUGGGCAAGGCCGGUGGCAGCCGCCGCGGUAAUACCGGCGGCCCGAGUGGUGGCCGCUAUUAUUGGGCCUAAAGCGUCCGUAGCCGGGCCCGUAAGUCCCUGGCGAAAUCCCACGGCUCAACCGUGGGGCUUGCUGGGGAUACUGCGGGUCUUGGGACCGGGAGAGGCGGGGGGUACCCCUGGGGUAGGGGUGAAAUCCUAUAAUCCCCAGGGGGACCGCCAGUGGCGAAGGCGCCCCGCUGGAACGGGUCCGACGGUGAGGGACGAAGGCCAGGGGAGCAAAACCGGGAUUAGAUACCCGUGUAGU
rnacentral:rRNA from 1 species